rnacentral:rRNA from 1 species
UGCAGCAACGCCGCGUGAGGGACGACGGCCUUCGGGUUGUAAACCUCUUUUAGCAAGGAAGAAGCGAAAGUGACGGUACUUGCAGAAAAAGCGCCGGCUAACUACGUGCCAGCAGCCGCGGUAAUACGUAGGGCGCAAGCGUUAUCCGGAAUUAUUGGGCGUAAAGAGCUCGUAGGCGGUUUGUCGCGUCUGCUGUGAAAACCCGAGGCUCAACCUCGGGCCUGCAGUGGGUACGGGCAGACUAGAGUGCGGUAGGGGAGAUUGGAAUUCCUGGUGUAGCGGUGGAAUGCGCAGAUAUCAGGAGGAACACCGAUGGCGAAGGCAGAUCUCUGGGCCGUAACUGACGCUCAGGAGCGAAAGGGUGGGGAGCAAACAGGCUUAGAUACCCUGGUAGUCCACCCCGUAAACGUUGGGAACUAGUUGUGGGGUCCAUUCCACGGAUUCCGUGACGCAUCUUACGCAUUAAGUUCCCCGCCUGGGGAGUACGGCCGCAAGGCUAAAACUCAAAGGAAUUGACGGGGACCCGCACAAGCGGCGGAGCAUGCGGAUUAAUUCAAUGCAACGCGAAGAACCUUACCAAGGCUUGACAUAUACCAGAACGCUGCAUAAAUGUAGAACUCUUUGGACA